rfam:Papio anubis isolate 1X1155 chromosome 9, whole genome shotgun sequence.
GUUUUAGUGUAAGUGUGUCCCAUGCAAUAUUUAGGACAUAUUUACACUAAAA